rfam:Candidatus Magasanikbacteria bacterium RIFCSPHIGHO2_02_FTLL_51_14 rifcsphigho2_02_scaffold_16089, whole genome shotgun sequence.
CAGUACGUAAGUAAGAGCGUACGGUGGAUGCCUUGACAUUGUCUCCCGAUGAAGGACGUUGCAGGGUGCGAUAAGCCCCGGGGAGGUCCCAAGCAACCUUUGAUCCGAGGAUGUCCGAAUGGGGGAACCCAUCCAGCACCACUUUUUGCGCCGUAAACGGCGCAAAAAGUGGUGCUGGAUACUGCAUGAUGAAUACAUAGUCAUGCAGAGAAGACCUGGCGAAGUGAAACAUCUCAGUAGCCAGAGGAAAAGAAAACAACAGUGAUUCCGUCAGUAGUGGCGAGCGAACGCGGAACAGCCCAAACCUAUGCCGUGUUGGAUGCGCGGAGAAAGGACCGAAAGGUUUUUUUGAAGCAAUUCCUGAAAGGACAGGCCGUUGCGGCAUAGGGGUAGUAGGAUUGCGGCGCAAGUUACCUGUGAUACUAGUUCUGGUCUAUGGCUUGCAUAAUCGAAAAUUCCUGGAACGGAAUACCAAAGAGGGUGAGAGUCCCGUAGGUGAAAUGCGUCAUAUAUCGGAAUGCUGCAGUCCUGAGUAGGCCGGGACACGUGAAAUCCCGACUGAAUCUGCCGCGACUAUGCGGUAAGGCUAAAUAGAGACAAUGAUCGAUAGUGAACAAGUACCAUGAGGGAAAGGUGAAAAGCAGCCCGGUGAGGGCGAUGAAAUAGUAUCUGAAACCGUAUGCUUACAAUGAGCCAGAGCCCGCAAGGGUGAUGGUAUUCCUAUUGAAGAAUGAGCCUGCGAGUGUGCUGUGUGUUGCAAGAUUAACCCCAUUAUUGGGGGAAGUCAUAGGGAAACCAAGUCUGAAAGGGCGAUAAGUAGCACACACACGACCCGAAACCGGGUGAGCAAUCCAUGGCCAGGUUGAACUCCGAUGAAAAUCGGAGGGAGGACCGAACCCACGCGCCGUGCAACACGCGGGGAUGAGCUGUGGAUAGGGGAGAAAUUCCAAUCGAACUCGGUAAUAGCUGGUUCUCCUCGAAAUAGCUUUAGGGCUAGCUGUAUGCGUUCCCUCUGGGGGUAGAGCACUGGAUGAGAAGUGGGUCCUUCGGGAUACCCUUUUCAAUCAAACUCCGAAUACCAGAGGUCAAAAGCAUGCAAGUCAGACUGUGCGGGCUAAGCUGCAUAGUCAAAAGGGAAACAGCCCAGAUCGCAAACUAAGGUCCCUAAGUCGUCGCUCAGUGUAAAAAGCGGUGUCGAUUCUUAUACAACCAGGAGGUUGGCUUAGAAGCAGCCAUCCUUUAAAGAAAGCGUAAUAGCUCACUGGUCAAGAGUCCUCGCGCUGAAAAUGUACCGGGGCUAAGCGACGCACCGAAGUUGCGAGUCAGCGCGGAGCACUGGAAUUUCGAAAUUCGAAUAUCGAAAUUCGAAACAAUAUCAAAAUUCAAAUAUCAAAUGUUCAAAUUUUUGAAUAUUUGAAUUUCAUGAUUUGAAUUUGUUUCGGAUUUCGGAUUUAGGAUUUCGGAUUUCCAGCGCUCUGCGCUGGCGGUAGAGGAGCAUUCCUAGCGCAGCGAAGUCCCAGCCGUGAGGCGGGAUGGAGCGCUGGGAAGAGAGAAUGCAGGCACAAGUAGCAAAAACCCCGAUGAAAGUUCGGGGCGCCGAAAACCCGAGGUUUCCAGGGCAACGCGAAUCGUCCCUGGGUUAGUCGGUCCUAAGGCCAGCCCAGCACCACUUUUUCUCAAUUCGUUGAGAAAAAGUGGUGCUGGGGUAACCGAUGGGCGAGCAGGUUAAUAUUCCUGCACUUGGCACAGUUUGCGUCAGUAUCCGCGUUUCAACGGUAAGAGCGUUGUAUGGCUACACGUCCCGCAAGGGCGAGGUCAAAUCUUCGGAAGCGACCAAGUCAUGCUAGAGAAGCGCCAAGAAAAGCACUGACGCGUUCGGCUGUGUCAAACCGUACCGCAAACCGACUCAGGUGGGUAGGUCGAGAAGACCAAGGCGGACGAGAGAAACAUGGUUUAGGAACUCUGCAAUACAGCGGCCGUAACUUCGGAAUAAGGCCCGCCCCGCAGCAAUGCGGGGCCGAAGCGAAAGACCCCUCGCGACUGUUUACCAAAAACACAGCUCCCUGCUAACUCGCAAGAGGAUGUAUAGGGGGUGAUGCCUGGCCAGUGUCAGAACGUUAAGGAAGUGGGUUAUCUCGAGAUUACAUCAACGGAGAAGCCUGCGACUGAAGCGCUGAUGAACGCCGGCGGUAACUAUAACCGUCCUAAGGUAGCGAAAUUCCUUGUCGGGUGAGUUCCGACCCGCACGAAUGGCAUAACGACUAGGGGACUGUCUUAACCAUGUACUCGGCGAAAAUGCACGUGUCGUGAAGAUGCGACAUACCCGCAACUAGACGAAAAGACCCCGUGAAGCUUUACUACAAUUUGGUAUUGGUCUGCUGCUCCACAUGUUCAGCGUAGGUGGGACCCCGACGUUACGUCGGGGGCCAAUGAGACACCACCCUUGUGUUGCGGCAUAUCUAAUCUGCGGCCUUGAAACAGGCCAUGGAGACAGUAUCUGAUGGGUAGUUUAACUGGGGCGGUUGCCUCCUAAAUUGUAACGGAGGCGUUUACCAAGGUAGGCUUAGCUCGGAUGGAAAUCGAGCUGGACGCGCAAACGCAGAAGCCUGCUUUACUGCAAGGGUUAUCGCCCGCGCAGUUACGAAAGUAGAAGUUAGUGAUCCGACCGUGGGACAUAGGACCGCGGAAGCUCAACAGAUAAAAGCUACUCCGGGGAUAACAGGCUGAUCGCGCCCAAGCGUCCACAGCGACGGCGCGGUUUGGCACCUCGAUGUCGGCUCAUCGCAUCCUGGGGCUGAAGAAGGUCCCAAGGGUUUGGCUGUUCGCCAAUUAAAGCGGUACGCGAGCUGGGUUCAGAACGUCGUGAGACAGUAGGAAUUCCGUGCUGUCUAUAAAUUCGACUAAAUGCUGGAAAAUCUGUCUAACCUCCAAGUUUGGAGAUUAGGAGGUUGAAGAAUCUCACACUAUGCGGUAUACUUGACACGUAUGCGGCGUAACAAAGUGGCGAGUGCAGACAACCAGCAGGGAAGAUUACGACAUCGGUUAGAACCAUGGUAUAUCAGCGGGUUUGUUGACGGUGAAGGAAGUUUUCAUAUCGCGCUGUAUCAGGACGCGAAGAUGAAAACCGGCUGGAAGGUAAUUCCAGAAUUUCAUGUAUCUCAACGGCUCACCAGCCGUUACGUAUUGGAUAAACUGGUGAAGUUUUUCCAUUGCGGAUAUGUGAAAGCGAACCAUGCAGCAAAUCCGAAAGAUGUUACCUACGUGUAUGUUGUCCGCGAUCGAGAAGAUUUGCGGACAAAGAUUAUUCCCUUUUUCACUCGAUAUCAUUUGCAGACAGAGAAAGCAAAAGAUUUUCUCCUGUUUGCGAAAAUUGUCGAGCUGAUGCGACAAGGGAAACAUCGAACGAGCGAUGGGAUACGACGCAUUAUCUCGCUCGCAUAUACUAUGAACGGUUCCGGAAGAUAUCGCAGAAAAAAACAACCGUAUUCGUAAAACCCUCAGAGACUAUACGUCGAACCCCGCGCAUGCGGGGAAGAUAUAGUCCGAACUGCAUGGCGACAUGCAGAGCUAGGCAGAAAUGUCCUAGCCAGUCCCGACGAAAUCGGGAUGGUAACAAGAUUGUCGGUCUCCUAUCUGUUGUGGGCGUCGAAUGGUGAGGGAGCUCAUCCCUAGUACGAGAGGACCGGGAUGGACAAACCUCUUGUGUACCGGCUGUCCCGCCAGGGGCAUACGCCGGGUAGCGACGUUUGGCACGGAUAAACGCUGAAAGCAUCUAAGCGCGAAGCCGUUCCCAAGAUUACCAUUCAUUUGAGACACCUUCGAGACGAGAAGGUUGAUAGGCGCCAGGUGAAAGGCCCGUAAGGGUUUGAGCCGAGGCGUACUAAUAUGUCGAUACGUUACUGCG